CCUGACAGCUUUGAUGGUAAAGAAUCUGCCUGCAAUGCAGGAGACCGGGGUUCAGUCCCUGGGUCAGGA
rnacentral:tRNA from 1 species